rnacentral:rRNA from 1 species
CAUGCAAGUCGUACGGGAGUUUUUAACUCAAGUGGCGGACGGGUGAGUAACACGUAAGAAUUUACCUUUAGGAGGGGGAUAACAACUGGAAACGGUUGCUAAUACCCCAUAUGCUUUCGAGUGAAAUGGAUUUUUCCGCCUAGAGAGAAGCUUGCGGCUGAUUAGCUUGUUGGUGAGGUAAUGGCUCACCAAGGCGACGAUCAGUAUCUGGUUUGAGAGGACGAUCAGACACACUGGAACUGAGACACGGUCCAGACUCCUACGGGAGGCAGCAGUGGGGAAUUUUCCGCAAUGGGCGAAAGCCUGACGGAGCAAUACCGCGUGAGGGAUGACGGCCUAUGGGUUGUAAACCUCUUUUUUCAGGGAGGAAUAAAUGACGUGUACCUGAAGAAUAAGCAUCGGCUAACUCCGUGCCAGCAGCCGCGGUAAGACGGAGGAUGCAAGUGUUAUCCGGAAUCACUGGGCGUAAAGCGUCUGUAGGUGGUUUAAUAAGUCAACUGUUAAAUCUUGAGGCCCAACCUCAAAAUCGCAGUCGAAACUAUUAGACUAGAGUAUAGUUGGGGUAAAGGGAAUUUCCAGUGGAGCGGUGAAAUGCGUAGAGAUUGGAAAGAACACCGAUGGCGAAGGCACUUUACUGGGCUAUUACUAACA